UAGGGAAUCUUCGGCAAUGGACGAAAGUCUGACCGAGCAACGCCGCGUGAGUGAAGAAGGUUUUCGGAUCGUAAAACUCUGUUGUUAGAGAAGAACAAGGACGUUAGUAACUGAACGUCCCCUGACGGUAUCUAACCAGAAAGCCACGGUUAACUACCUGCCAGCAGCCGCGGUAAUACGUAGGUGGCAAGCGUUGUCCGGAUUUAUUGGGCGUAAAGCGAGCGCAGGCGGUUUCUUAAGUCGGAUGUGAAAGCCCCCGGCUCAACCGGGGAGGGUCAUUGGAAACUGGGAGACUUGAGUGCAGAAGAGGAGAGUGGAAUUCCAUGUGUAGCGGUGAAAUGCGUAGAUAUAUGGAGGAACACCAGUGGCGAAGGCGGCUCUCUGGUCUGUAACUGACGCUGAGGCUCGAAAGCGUGGGGAGCAAACAGG
rnacentral:rRNA from 1 species